UUUAAUGGAGAGUUUGAUCCUGGCUCAGGACGAACGCUGGCGGCGUGCCUAAUACAUGCAAGUCGAGCGG
rnacentral:rRNA from 3 species